GAAGCGGGAUAGUAACCAGGACGGGAAUAAGAGCGAUGAAUGGAAGGGAGUUGUGAGCCUGUGAUCGAUGCAAUCAGAGUUCUAUUAUGUUUUAAAGAGACAGCACCCGUGACGUUUAAGGUACAAUGGAGUAAGUGUACUCACACCACCCUGUUCCUCCCACUGAAUGCGGCUAAAAAACCUGGGCAGAAUAAGUGGAGCAUCUGAGGACUCUGAAAAGUAAAGAACAGCAGGCAGAUUGGAGACGAAGACCAAAAUGUUACUACAAAAUCAAAAAUUACUCAUGUGGCUCACAUUAGAUUCCAACUGGACAGUUCAGGCACGGAACAGUAAGUGCAGAGCCUGGCUCUCCUCUCAGGGCCUUCCUCCUGUCUAAAUUUGUGGGUGUCCUCUGGCUGGAAAGAGGAAGUGAGGUGGUGGAAAGAGACAAGGUUUCUUCCUUCCCUGCAGGAGGCUGUGGCAAAAAGCCAACAUUCACAGCAAGUUCUUCGGUUUACAGACUAUUUCUUCUGUGGUGGGUUAUUUCCACUGCAUUCCAAAGCAGGCUCUGCUUUUUGGAGAGGUAAAAAAGAAACAUGUCAGCAGUCCGAAGUGAACUGCUCAAAGCUGGCUCUCAUAAGAAGAUGCUCACUUUUCAAGAGUUAAGGGUCACAGCAAAAGGCCCUCUCAGCCCCACCUCCUUGGUGACAUUAAGGGGAGAUAAUUAAAACAGAAUGGGCUCCUGCAAAUGUGUUGCAUUAUCUCCUGGUUGACUCAGCAAUUCCACAGCAGGCUGAAAGUUUAAUGAAGAGCAGUAAGAAAGACAUCUGCAAAUUUGACAAUAACCAAGAAGUUUGCAAAAAGAAGUAUGCAGAAAUGAAAGUUCAUUUUCUCAUGUCAUAAAUUAUGGUAUCCUUGCUUCACCACUCUUUUUUUUUUUUUUUUUUUUUACUAACUCACUUAAAUAUUUACAUGUAGAAUCAGACCUGGCAGCAAAUUCAAAGAAAUCUGUUAAGGACAGCAAAAGUUGCUUCUGUAUCAGAGGCUUUGAGACUCCAGGUCUCAAUUAACCUUUCUAAAUAGGAACUGACAGCCUCGAAUGGAAAAUCAGAGUGGGUGAGGGGAGGGAAGACUAAAAUGUUUUUGAAGAAUGUUUGACUACAAAGUAAACAGUCUGAAUAGAAAAUAGUAAAUCAGAUGCUGCCUCCACAUUCCAUAAAACUGUAUAUACAGUAAAAUGUACUGUACAGUUAAAAGACAUGGAUAAAAGAAAUCAUAAAACAAUUUGAGUUUUGUGAUGAUCCAAACUUCAUGGAAUUAGUUGUGUUGGCAUAAGACAGUUUUUUUUUUUUCUGUUAGAUCCUGACAUGAAGUUUGUACAGAUGGCAUUGAAGGCGUAACUUUAGAGAUAUUUAUCUUUAAGCUUUCUUUUCCGUCAUCAAAUCGACCCAUGAGUACAGAUUUACUAGGCAUAUUAUUUAUUUCAGGUAUAUUAUUUCAUUUUGCUAACCAAAAUGUUAUCACUAUUAUUUUGCACAAAAUAGCACACUACUUUAUUCAUUUUCAGGAUUUAUUUUGCUUUAGAUGAAAGCAAAAGGAAAGUUAACUUAGCAAAUUUACAGCAUAAUCAAGAUUGUAAGGGGAAAGGUUUAAAUGCUAGAAAACAACAUGUCAAAAGCACCCAUUUAUAAGAGAAUGUUUCAUUGUCAGUUUCCAAAACUCUUAGUAUCAAACACAGCUACUCUCUGCAUUUAAAUGACAUUUACAUAUCUAAAAGCAAUACAAUCCCUUAUCUCCAAGAAUCUGGUUAAUCAGAUAAGGCUUUCUCAUUAUCUUGUGUUAGAGAGAUUUUUACUAUAUUUUAAACAGCUGUAAUUCAAUAAAUCUGAAAGAGUAGGGAAUUCAGCUCUACUGCUUACCUUAUGAGUUUGUAGACGAUGAAGAAAUAUCAUUCUCUCUCCUGCUUCAUCGUACCAGCUGUUUUCGGUCUGAACUGUCACCAUUUCUCCCGUAUGGCAAAACCUCAUCCAUCUCUGUUCUUGCCCAUGGACUUUGUUAGAUAUUCUUUAUCCCUGGGUCCCCAUGCUUGUUGAAGUUAACCCUCCAUCAUACCCUGUUUGGCAUCAUGAUUGCACUUAGUAUGGUAUUAUAAUUGUUCCUGUAUCAGUCUCAGAUAUCGGGGAUUCUUUUUCAUCUUGGCUUCCCUUCUGCCUAGCAUAGUCCCUGCAUAGGGGAGACGUGCAAUGGUUUCUGAAACAGAAUCCAAAGCAUCACUUUGAGUUAUUAGUGUAACAAGGCUGCUUGUUACUACAACACUGCCUUGCCAUUGUCACUCAGCUUGGGUCUUCCGCACUUGCCCCUUGGGUCUAUUGUCAUUUGAUGCGCUUCCUAUUUAGCCUACAUCAUCUCCCUCUCUGAUGAAAUGGCUUCUCCAUUUAUGUCCUUCUCUCCACUUAUGGGGGUCUCACAGAAGAAUGGCUUGGGCCACUGCUUAUUAUGUUUCAUUUUAUAGCCCUUUUGGAAAGGAGGCGGACUUUCCACACAGUUGCUGAGGACGUUAAUCACACAGCAUUUUCACUCUCACUUCUUUCUUUCUCGGGGACAGCCUCAUUGUGAACCAAGAUCCUUUGCUCUCGUCCUCUCAGCCAGCCUCGUCAGAGAUUGAUGGCCCAUGCCUCAUACCUUCAUAUAUGCAAACUUUUUUAAACAAGUGUUUCUUGUCCCACCUUGCAAUUUAAAUUGCAGUGGGCCAUUCCUAAAUCCAUCAGCUGAAUGGUAUGUAUCUGAAAGCCCAGCUGUCUACAGUUCCAAUGGUUUGGCUACACAUAAAUGAUGGUAUUCACACACAGAACGCAAGCUUCCAAAUAUAUACAACAAAAUUUUAA